UAGGGAAUUUUGCGCAAUGGGGGCAACCCUGACGCAGCGACGCCGCGUGAGUGAAGAAGGCCUUCGGGUUGUAAAGCUCUGUCAGGAGGGACGAAUAAGCAACGUCGAAUAGACGUAUGUGAUGACGGUACCUUCAGAGGAAGCACCGGCUAACUCUGUGCCAGCAGCCGCGGUAAUACAGAGGGUGCAAGCGUUAUUCGGAAUUACUGGGCGUAAAGCGUGCGCAGGCGGUUCUAUAAGACAGAUGUGAAAUCCCCGGGCUUAACCUGGGAACUGCGUUUGUGACUGUAGGACUUGAGUGUGGCAGAGGGGGGUGGAAUUCCACGUGUAGCAGUGAAAUGCGUAGAGAUGUGGAGGAACACCGAUGGCGAAGGCAGCCCCCUGGGUCAACACUGACGCUCAUGCACGAAAGCGUGGGGAGCAAACAGG
rnacentral:rRNA from 1 species